rnacentral:rRNA from 1 species
GACGAACGCUGGCGGCGUGCUUAACACAUGCAAGUCGAACGGAAAGGCCCUGCUUUUGUGGGGUGCUCGAGUUGCGAACGGGUGAGUAACACGUGAGUAACCUGCCCUUGACUUUGGGAUAACUUCAGGAAACUGGGGCUAAUACCGGAUAGGAGCUCCUGCUGCAUGGUGGGGGUUGGAAAGUUUCGGUGGUUGGGGAUGGACUCGCGGCUUAUCAGCUUGUUGGUGGGGUAGUGGCUUACCAAGGCAUUGAGGGGUAGCCGGCCUGAGAGGGUGACCGGCCACACUGGGACUGGGAUGAGGCCCAGACUCGUACGGGAGGCAAGGGUGGGGAAUAGUGCACAAGGGGAGGAGGCAUGACGUAGCAACGCCGCGUGCGGGAUGACGGCAUGCGGGUUGGAAAGCGAAGUCGCCUGUGACGAGGCGUGAGUGACGGUAAUGGGUAAAGAAGCACCGGCUAACUACGUG